rnacentral:rRNA from 1 species
UAGUCCACGCCGUAAACGAUGGAUACUAGCUGUUCGACCGCCUCGGCGGUUGAGUGGCUAAGCGAAAGUGAUAAGUAUCCCACCUGGGGAGUACGUUCGCAAGAAUGAAACUCAAAGGAAUUGACGGGGGCCCGCACAAGCGGUGGAGCACGUGGUUUAAUUCGAUGAUACGCGAGGAACCUUACCAGGGCUUAAAUGUAGUCUGACAGGGCCAGAAAUGGCUUUUUCUUCGGACAGAUUACAAGGUGCUGCAUGGUUGUCGUCAGCUCGUGCCGUGAGGUGUCAGGUUAAGUCCUAUAACGAGCGCAACCCCUGUUGUUAGUUGCCAUCGAGUAAUGUCGGGAACUCUAACAAGACUGCCGGUGCAAACCGUGAGGAAGGUGGGGAUGACGUCAAAUCAUCACGGCCCUUACGUCCUGGGCCACACACGUGCUACAAUGGUAGGGACAGAGAGCAGCCACUACGCGAGUAGGAGCGAAUCUAUAAACCCUAUCUCAGUUCGGAUCGGAGU